GAUGAACGCUGGCGGCGUGCCUAAUACAUGCAAGUCGAGCGCAACUUCUUAUACCGAACCUUCGGGUUCACUUUAAGAGUUGAGCGGCGGACGGGUGAGUAACACGUAGGCAACCUACCCUUAAGACUGGGAUAACUACGGGAAACCGUGGCUAAUACCGGAUAAUAUCUUUAUUCAAAAGAGUAAAGAUUGAAAGAUGGAUUUUCUAUCACUUAAGGAUGGGCCUGCGGCGCAUUAGCUAGUUGGUGAGGUAGUAGCUCACCAAGGCGACGAUGCGUAGCCGACCUGAGAGGGUGACCGGCCACACUGGGACUGAGACACGGCCCAGACUCCUACGGGAGGCAGCAGUAGGGAAUCUUCCGCAAUGGACGCAAGUCUGACGGAGCAACGCCGCGUGUGUGAUGAAGGAUUUCGGUUCGUAAAGCACUGUUGUUAAGGAAGAAUAGUAGUAAGAGUAACUGUUUACUAAUUGACGGUACUUAACCAGAAAGCCACGGCUAACUACGUGCCAGCAGCCGCGGUAA
rnacentral:rRNA from 1 species